UCAGCAUGUUGCAAAACUCCACUGGCUAAAAAAAAGAAAAAGGGAGCUCCUUCAAAAACCACCAAAGGUGGUCAUGAGGCCAACGGACCCAAAUGGAUUCCCCAAUCGAGAGAAGUUUUUUUUUCUUUUUUUUUGUUUCCUUUUUUUUUUUUCUUUCUU
rnacentral:ribozyme from 13 species